CCUACGGGUGGCAGCAGUGGGGAAUAUUGGUCAAUGGGCGCAAGCCUGACCCAGCAACGCCGCGUGAAGGAAGAAGGCUUUAGGGUUGUAAACUCCUUUUCUCAGGGACGAAGAAAGCGACAGUUCCUGAGGAAUAAGCGACGGCUACCUACGUGCCAGCAGCCGCGGUAAUCCGUAGGGGGCAAUCGUUCUGCGGACUUAAUGGGGUUAAAGGGUGUGUAGGCGGGAGCGUAAGGCAGAUGGGAAAACUCAGGGCUCAACCCUGGGCCUGCAGUUGAAACUGGUUUUCUUGAGUGCAGGAGAGGCAGGCGGAAUUCGUGGUGUAGCGGUGAAAUGCGUAGAUAUAACGAGGAACACCAAUGGCGAAGGCGGACUGCUGGACAGUGACUGACGCUGAGGCGCGAAAGCGUGGGGAGCAAACAGGAUUAGAUACCCCGGUAGUC
rnacentral:rRNA from 1 species